rnacentral:tRNA from 1 species
GCCUGGGUGGCUCAGUCGGUUAAGCAUCUGUCUUUGGCUCAGGUCAUGACCUCAGUGUCCUGGGAUCAAAUCCCACCUCAGGCU